CCUAUACAUGCAAGUCGAGCGAACAGACAAGGAGCUUGCUCCUUUGACGUUAGCGGCGGACGGGUGAGUAACACGUGGGUAACCUACCUAUAAGACUGGGAUAACUUCGGGAAACCGGAGCUAAUACCGGAUAAUAUUUCGAACCGCAUGGUUCGAUAGUGAAAGAUGGUUUUGCUAUCACUUAUAGAUGGACCCGCGCCGUAUUAGCUAGUUGGUAAGGUAACGGCUUACCAAGGCGACGAUACGUAGCCGACCUGAGAGGGUGAUCGGCCACACUGGAACUGAGACACGGUCCAGACUCCUACGGGAGGCAGCAGUAGGGAAUCUUCCGCAAUGGGCGAAAGCCUGACGGAGCAACGCCGCGUGAGUGAUGAAGGUCUUCGGAUCGUAAAACUCUGUUAUUAGGGAAGAACAUACGUGUAAGUAACUAUGCACGUCUUGACGGUACCUAAUCAGAAAGCCACGGCUAACUACGUGCCAGCAGCGGGCCGGGUAAUAAA
rnacentral:rRNA from 1 species